GAUGAACGCUAGCGGCAGGCCUAAUACAUGCAAGUCGUACGGGUUAUAGUUUUCGGAUUAUGAUUAGUGGCGUACGGGUGCGUAACGCGUACACAACGUACCUUUUACUGGGGGAUAGCGGUGGGAAACUGCCAGUAAUACCCCAUAGUAUCUCGAGAAGGCAUCUUUUUGAGAUUAAAGCUCCGGCGGUAAGAGAUCGGUGUGCGUCCGAUUAGCUAGUUGGCGGGGUAACGGCCCACCAAGGCGACGAUCGGUAGGGGGUGUGAGAGCAUGGCCCCCCACACGGGUACUGAGACACGGACCCGACUCCUACGGGAGGCAGCAGUAAGGAAUAUUGGACAAUGGAGGGAACUCUGAUCCAGCCAUGCCGCGUGAAGGAUGACUGCCCUAUGGGUUGUAAACUUCUUUUGAGUGGGAACAAAAUGCCUGAUUAAUCAGGAGCUGAGGGUACCACUAGAAUAAGCACCGGCUAACUCCGUG
rnacentral:rRNA from 1 species